GUUGAAUAGAAGAAUAAUAUAUUCAGAGUGGGGAACCACUCUGAAUUUAUGAGCUUUCCUGCCUAAAGCUUAUAAAUUGGCUACUUGUUUUCUGCAUUCUGUGCUGCUCUAGAUCUAGGGUUGGCAAACUUUCUCUAAAGGUCCAGACAAUAAACAUUAGGCUUUGCAGGCAAUAUGGUUUCUGUUAUAAAACUACUCAACUCUGCCAUUACAAUGUGCAAACAAAUGGAUGUGGCUGUGUUCCAAUAAAAACCUUGUUAAAAAUCAGGUGGCAGGUUAGAGGGCCACCCAAUCCCUGCUCUAAACAAAUAGUGUUCUUUAUGCUUCCUUGCCUAUUAUUCCCUAUUCAUCCCUCCCCACUCGUAGCCACUAGAACCUCAUUAAGGAUGCUACAUUUUCCUGACAAAAGUGCACCUACAUUGGGAACACAAUUUGGCAUUUGCUGAAUGGAUGGGUUAGUUCUCAAGAGUAAGAACUGAGGGCCUCCAAAAAUACACAGAAAGCUCCCAUGGGCAAAUACACAGAAAGCCCCUCUGGGCAAUGCCCAGAGAUGUUAGGGGGUCCUAGAACCCUAGAUUGGUAGAGCCACCAAUGUGCAACUCUGGCCUGGGAAAGUAGCAGGCAAGUGAUUCCAACCCAUGAGAGCUACAGCAUGGGCUGUGUCCAGCAAAGCCAUAGGGCUGGGCCACCUUAGUGCUCCAAUGCCCAACUUCUGCCUCCAUGUAUCUAGAAGGUGGACAUUGAGUCAAAGAAGAUUAUUCUCGGCAUCUGGGAUGUCGGUAGUUUGCUGGGCCAGGUUCUGCGGCCUUGCUUCUGUUUACUUUUCCACUCCAGGCCACGAUGCCACAGUAGCAGACCUGCGAGGAGUUCAGCCGCGCUGCGGAGAAGCAUUACCUCGCUGAUCCUAUGGAGGUAUGUAUGCUUCUCAAAUAUAGGCAUACUGAUGGGAACUUGUGUAUUAACAGAUGAUUUAGUUAGCAAACUCAAGAUGUAAAGAAGAUUGAGAAAUUCUACAGUCAACUAAUGCGACUUAUGGUAGCCAAGGAAUCCCAAAAUGUUACCAUGGAAACUGAGCCAAUGGUUUGAAAUGAAGACUUUGUCAUGUACUUAGGAAGUAAUUAUCUUUUGAAUUAGAGAAAGUGUUGGGACAGAAAAUACUUUAUGUAACUAAGUGAACUAUUCAAAAGCUUAGAGGUCAUUUUUUGUAAUUUUCUUUUGAAUGUUUGCUUUAGAAAGCUAGGAAUGGGAAUGUUUUCAGUUAGAAAGCCUGUAUUUACUUUUGGAAAUUGAACAAGAAAUGCAUCUGCCUUGGAAACUUUGCAGAUUAUUUGAUGUUAGAUAAAACACAUAAUUGUUUCUCUGACAAAUUUGUAUCAGUAAUUUGAAAUUGAGAUAGGAAGAAAAGCCAAUUCUUCCUUAAAUUUAGUUCAUCUGUCUUUAAAAGAACAUUAAAUGUAACCAUUUUGUUGGAUCGAUGUUUUUCUUUUGGAGCAUAGAAUGUAUGCUGUUGAUGACCAAUAAAUAUAAAAUAUGGUAACUGGAAUUAGCUCUGCACCAUAGUAUGCAUUGUUACACAUAUUAUCCACCUAAUUGUGUAUAGCAGUGUAGUCUCAAUUAUAUCUAAAAGUAAUUGACUAACGAGUAUGCUUUGCCUUCUUUCCAGAUUUAAACUACCUUUUAAUAUAAGGGAUUUGUAGUAGUAUCAGCUUGUUGAGCAAUGACUUCGAAUCUAGUUUUCAGAAGCAGCAGUUAUUUGAGUGCGUGAAUGGAAUGAUGAUCACUGUAAUGUACUGAAACCACCAUAUUACAGAAAUAUUUGCUACUUAUUUUCCAUCUGUAGUUUCUCAGAAGGGCUAUAGAUAAUUUGAACUGCUAAAUUUUUGCAUACUUCUGUGACACCCCUGCCCAUUUUCACUCUUUAUUUAACCAAGGUGUUAGGUGUGACUGUCACAACUGUUAUGUUUUCCAGUAAACAAGAAGUAUGAUAUUAUCUGAUACUUACAUUUGUAUCCUAAAUUUCACCACCUAAAUGUAAUGUUCACAUGUUGAUUCCUCAAGAAUGAAGUGAAGGUACUACAUUGAAAUAUGUUUUGUAGAAAUUUGUCAUGUUGAGCAACAUUUUAGUAUGGUAAGUUCCCUUAGCUAUAUGAAUUUUGGCAUGUUUCAGAGAGAUGAGCAAAUAAAAUAUUACAAAAAAAAAAAGAAGAUUAUU